AGUGAACGCUGGCGGUAGGCCUAACACAUGCAAGUCGAACGGCAGCACAGGAGAGCUUGCUCUCUAGGUGGCGAGUGGCGGACGGGUGAGGAAUACAUCGGAAUCUGCCCAGUCGUGGGGGAUAACGUAGGGAAACUUACGCUAAUACCGCAUACGACCUUCGGGUGAAAGAGGGGGAUCGCAAGACCUCUCGCGAUUGGAUGAGCCGAUGUCGGAUUAGCUAGUUAGCGGGGUAAUGGCCCACCAAGGCGACGAUCCGUAGCUGGUCUGAGAGGAUGAUCAGCCACACUGGAACUGAGACAUGGUCCAGACUCCUACGGGAGGCAGCAGUGGGGAAUAUUGGACAAUGGGCGCAAGCCUGAUCCAGCCAUACCGCGUGGGUGAAGAAGGCCUUCGGGUUGUAAAGCCCUUUUGUUGGGAAAGAAAUCUUUCAGGCUAAUACCCUGGGAGGAUGACGGUACCCAAAGAAUAAGCACCGGCUAACUUCGUG
rnacentral:rRNA from 1 species